AUGUUAGCGGCGGACGGGUGAGUAACACGUGGAUAACCUACCUAUAAGACUGGGAUAACUUCGGGAAACCGGAGCUAAUACCGGAUAAUAUUUUGAACCGCAUGGUUCAAAAGUGAAAGACGGUCUUGCUGUCACUUAUAGAUGGAUCCGCGCUGCAUUAGCUAGUUGGUAAGGUAACGGCUUACCAAGGCAACGAUGCAUAGCCGACCUGAGAGGGUGAUCGGCCACACUGGAACUGAGACACGGUCCAGACUCCUACGGGAGGCAGCAGUAGGGAAUCUUCCGCAAUGGGCGAAAGCCUGACGGAGCAACGCCGCGUGAGUGAUGAAGGUCUUCGGAUCGUAAAACUCUGUUAUUAGGGAAGAACAUAUGUGUAAGUAACUGUGCACAUCUUGACGGUACCUAAUCAGAAAGCCACGGCUAACUACGUGCCAGCAGCCGCGGUAAUACGUAGGUGGCAAGCGUUAUCCGGAAUUAUUGGGCGUAAAGCGCGCGUAGGCGGUUUUUUAAGUCUGAUGUGAAAGCCCACGGCUCAACCGUGGAGGGUCAUUGGAAACUGGAAAACUUGAGUGCAGAAGAGGAAAGUGGAAUUCCAUGUGUAGCGGUGAAAUGCGCAGAGAUAUGGAGGAACACCAGUGGCGAAGGCGACUUUCUGGUCUGUAACUGACGCUGAUGUGCGAAAGCGUGGGGAUCAAACAGGAUUAGAUACCCUGGUAGUCCACGCCGUAAACGAUGAGUGCUAAGUGUUAGGGGGUUUCCGCCCCUUAGUGCUGCAGCUAACGCAUUAAGCACUCCGCCUGGGGAGUACGACCGCAAGGUUGAAACUCAAAGGAAUUGACGGGGACCCGCACAAGCGGUGGAGCAUGUGGUUUAAUUCGAAGCAACGCGAAGAACCUUACCAAAUCUUGACAUCCUUUGACAACUCUAGAGAUAGAGCUUUCCCCUUCGGGGGACAAAGUGACAGGUGGUGCAUGGUUGUCGUCAGCUCGUGUCGUGAGAUGUUGGGUUAAGUCCCGCAACGAGCGCAACCCUUAAGCUUAGUUGCCAUCAUUAAGUUGGGCACUCUAAGUUGACUGCCGGUGACAAACCGGAGGAAGGUGGGGAUGACGUCAAAUCAUCAUGCCCCUUAUGAUUUGGGCUACACACGUGCUACAAUGGACAAUACAAAGGGCAGCGAAACCGUGAGGUCAAGCAAAUCCCAUAAAGUUGUUCUCAGUUCGGAUUGUAGUCUGCAACUCGACUACAUGAAGCUGGAAUCGCUAGUAAUCGUAGAUCAGCAUGCUACGGUGAAUACGUUCCCGGGUCUUGUACACACCGCCCGUCACACCACGAGAGUUUGUAACACCCGAAGCCGGUGGAGUAACCUUUUAGGAGCUAGCCGUCGAAGGUGGGACAAAUGAUUGGGGUGAAGUCGUAACAAGGUAGCCGUAUCGGAAGGUGCGGCUGGAUCACCUCCUUU
rnacentral:rRNA from 1 species